rnacentral:rRNA from 1 species
AGAGCGAACGCUGGCGGCAGGCUUAACACAUGCAAGUCGAGCGGGCGUAGCAAUACGUCAGCGGCAGACGGGUGAGUAACGCGUGGGAACGUACCUUUUGGUUCGGAACAACACAGGGAAACUUGUGCUAAUACCGGAUAAGCCCUUACGGGGAAAGAUUUAUCGCCAAAAGAUCGGCCCGCGUCUGAUUAGCUAGUUGGUGAGGUAACGGCUCACCAAGGCGACGAUCAGUAGCUGGUCUGAGAGGAUGAUCAGCCACAUUGGGACUGAGACACGGCCCAAACUCCUACGGGAGGCAGCAGUGGGGAAUAUUGGACAAUGGGCGCAAGCCUGAUCCAGCCAUGCCGCGUGAGUGAUGAAGGCCCUAGGGUUGUAAAGCUCUUUUGUGCGGGAAGAUAAUGACGGUACCGCAAGGAAUAAGCCCCGGCUAACUUCGCGCCAGCAGCCGC